GGAAUUGUGGCUCAGGGGUAGAGUGCUCGCCUAGCAUGUGCAAGGCCCUGAGUUCAAUCCUCAGCACCA
rnacentral:tRNA from 1 species